rnacentral:rRNA from 1 species
GUAGGCGGUUUGUUAAGCGAAUAGUGAAACCUGGUGGCUCAACCAUACAGACUAUUAUUCGAACUGGCAAACUCGAGAGUGGUAGAGGUCACNUGGAAUUUCUUGUGUAGGAGUGAAAUCCGUAGAUAUAAGAAGGAACACCGAUGGCGUAGGCAGGUGACUAGACCAUUUCUGACGCUAAGGCACGAAAGCGUGGGGAGCGAACCGGAUUAGAUACCCGGGUAGUCCACGCCGUAAACGAUGGAUACUAGCUGUUGGAGGUAUCGACCCCUUCAGUAGCGAAGCUAACGCGUUAAGUAUCCCGCCUGUGGAGUACGGCCGCAAGGCUAAAACAUAAAGGAAUUGACGGGGACCCGCACAAGCGGUGGAUCGUGUUCUUUAAUUCGAUGAUAAACGAAGAACCUUACCAGGGCUUGACAUCCAGGGAAGGUCUGCGAAAGCGGACUGUGCCUUUUGGAACCCUGUGACAGGUGCUGCAUGGCCGUCGUCAGCUCGUGUCGUGAGAUGUUUGGUUAAGUCCAUCAACGAGCGCAACCCUUGCAACUAAGUUGGAUUUUUCUAGUUGGACNUGCCCCGGUAACGGGGGAGGAAGGAGGGGGAUGAUGUCAGGUCAGUAUUGCCCUUACGUCCUGGGCUAGGAAACACGAUACAAUGGCUAGUACAAUGCCCAGCGAANCCGCGAGG